AGCAUGGCACAUCAAUGCAAGCUAUGGCAAGAAGGUCAGAUGUGUUUGUCAGCACAGUGUCCAGAGCAUGGAGCAGAUACCAGGAGACAGGUCAGAACAUCCGAAGACAUGGAGGGGGCCGUAGGAGGGCAAGAACCCAGCAGCAGGACCACUACCUUCUCCUUUGUGUAAUGAGGAACAGGAAGAGCAGUCCCAGAGCCCUGCAAAAUGACGUCCAGCAGGCCACUAAUAUCCAUGUGUCUGUUCAAACUGUCAGAAACAGACUCCGUGAGGGUGGUAUGAGGGCCUGAUGUCCACAAGUUAUGAAGUGCUUGCAGCCCAA